GAUAGGUCAUCUCAUCUGGAAGGAGAGAUGGCUUAAAGGGGUGCGCGAGCUUCUUUUGUGCACCUGCUCUAGGAUGGGACUGCGGCCGAUCAGGCUGUUGGUGGGGUAAUGGCCCACCAAACCUGUAACCGGUACGGGCCUUGAGAGAGGGGGCCCGGAGAUGGACACUGAGAGAAGGGUCCAGGUCCUACGGGGCGCAGCAGGCGCGAAACCUUCGCAAUGCGCGAAAGCGUGACGAGGUUAAUCCGAGUGGUUCCCGCUGAGGGAAUCUUUUGUUGGCUCUAAAAUGGCCAGUGAAUAAGGGGAGGGCAAGUCUGGUGUCAGCCGCCGCGGUAAUACCAGCUCCUCGAGUGGUCGGGGCGAUUAUUGGGCCUAAAGCAUCCGUAGCCUGUUCUGUAGGUCUUCUGUUAAAUCCAACGGCUUAACCGUUGGUCUGCAGAAGAUACCGCAGGACUAGGAGGCGGGAGAGGUGGACGGUACUCCACGUGUAGGGGUAAAAUCCUUUGAUCCGUGAAGACCACCAGUGGCGAAGGCGUCCACCAGAACGCGCUCGACGGUGAGGGAUGAAAGCUGGGGGAGCGAACCGGAUUAAAAUACCCG
rnacentral:rRNA from 1 species